rnacentral:rRNA from 1 species
UACAGAGGGGGCAAGCGUUGUUCGGAAUUACUGGGCGUAAAGGGCUCGUAGGCGGCCCAGUAAGUCAGACGUGAAAUCCCUCGGCUUAACCGGGGAACUGCGUCUGAUACUGGAUGGCUUGAGGUUGGGAGAGGGAUGCGGAAUUCCAGGUGUAGCGGUGAAAUGCGUAGAUAUCUGGAGGAACACCGGUGGCGAAGGCGGCAUCCUGGACCAGCACUGACGCUGAGUGAGCGAAAGCCAGGGGAGCAAACGGG